UCUCAGACCACAAUGCCAUCAAACUAGAACCCGGGAUUAAGAAACUGACUCAAAACCGCUCAACUACGUGGAAACUGAACAACCUGCUCCUGAAUGACUACUGGGUACAUAAUGAAAUGAAGGCAGAAAUAAGGAAGUCAGUGUAUUCUUAUUCCACAGAGGAGGAAGCUGAGACUUGGGCAGUUCCAAUCAUCUAUCCUGAAGUUCUUACCAUCCAAAAAGAAUUCAUCGGCUUGCCUUGAUUUCCCCAGAUAAAAGGGACCCCUUCCUUCUCUGACCCACGAAGACACUCUGU
rnacentral:lncRNA from 10 species